rnacentral:lncRNA from 1 species
CAGGACAGUCCUUGCUAUCCCACAGCUCCCACGCUAAUGUGGGAGGCAGAGGUAUAACAGAGUCACCACCUAGGGUGAGGAGAGCAGCGCCUGAGGUCAGCACUGGAGGACAAGGGCAUGGAAAGAUGUGGGGUGUGAAUCUUGGCUCUGCCACUGACCAGUCAGGUGACCUUGGACAAGGGAUAUAGCCUCUCUGAAUUUCUAUUGCCUCAUCAGAAAGAUGAGGAUGGUAAUAUCUACGCUUCAGGAUUGAUUUAGGAUUAAACAGACAAUGCACAUACAGUGUCAAAUACUGUGCAAAGGAAGACAAUAAGUGCUUAGUAUAUGGUAGCUGUAUUUAUUAACAAAACUAAAGAGUGGGUGGGGAAAAGGAGGAUGAAGAGGAUUCUGGAACUUGUUUCUCUAUGAGUUCUGUUCUUGGCCAGAAGCUGGCCUUCUGUGCCCAGCCCCCUUUCCAUCCCCAAGCCUGUCCAGGCACCUGCUAUGGGUCCUGGCAUCCCGAGGCAGGGCCAGGGAAGGGCCAGGGUGAGGCCAAGAGGGCGGGUGAGGACAGCCCAGCCCAGCUCCUCACUGCUGGGGAGCCUGGUGUGGGGGCAGGACUGCUCUUGGCAGCUAUGUUCUCCCUGGAUGGAGAGAAGGCCUGUGUGUCUAUGGGGAGAUGGAGAUGACAUCAGAAUAGCCGGAGCAGGUGUGAUCCAAGGUUCUGCAAGGAAAAGGAAGGAUGGUGUGGAGUGUGUUGCUGCAGGGAAGGCUUCCCAGUGGAGGUGGCUCCUGAGCUCUAGGAAAAGGGAAGUGAGUGUCCUUCCAGGCAGAGGGAACAGCAGGUGCAAAGGCCUGGGGGCUCGUCUAUAAGCACCCCCACGGCCGCGGCCCAGAUCCUCCCCGCUUUGCCCACCGGCCUCCAUCUCUGUCCUCAGGCCCGCUGGAGUCACAAGCCCCAUCCCAGACUCUCCAACGCUGGACCUGCAGCGCCCAGCCCUGCCCUGGUGCUACCACCUGCCAGCUCUGUGCCUGCCCCUCCACUAGAUCAUGACUUCGGCUCCAGCUCCCUCACUCUCCAUGCCUCUCACUUGCGGGUUGUGCCCUGCUCAGCUGGCCAGACUUUGGCCCCCUCCCUACCUGGAUUUGUGAAGCCCCAAAUUUCAUCUCCCCCACCACACUUAUUCACAGCCUCCGCCUGCUGACAUACCCAGGCAAGACUCCCUUCCCCUCCAGGCAGCCAAACUUCAGUUCGAAUCUUCUGGCUCUUACCAGACCCCUGAUGAAUCCCAGGAUCUUCGCAGGUGGUCCCAGGGCCUCUUUGAACCACAGUUUUACUUAUCUGAAAAAUAAAAAGGCAUGAUUUAGAUGA